rnacentral:rRNA from 1 species
GCGGCAGGCCUAACACAUGCAAGUCGAACGGUAACAGGAAGCAGCUUGCUGCUUUGCUGACGAGUGGCGGACGGGUGAGUAAUGUCUGGGAAACUGCCUGAUGGAGGGGGAUAACUACUGGAAACGGUGGCUAAUACCGCAUAACGUCGCAAGACCAAAGAGGGGGACCUUCGGGCCUCUUGCCAUCAGAUGUGCCCAGAUGGGAUUAGCUUGUUGGUGAGGUAACGGCUCACCAAGGCGACGAUCCCUAGCUGGUCUGAGAGGAUGACCAGCCACACUGGAACUGAGACACGGUCCAGACUCCUACGGGAGGCAGCAGUGGGGAAUAUUGCACAAUGGGCGCAAGCCUGAUGCAGCCAUGCCGCGUGUAUGAAGAAGGCCUUCGGGUUGUAAAGUACUUUCAGCGGGGAGGAAGGUGUUGUGGUUAAUAACCGCAGCAAUUGACGUUACCCGCAGAAGAAGCACCGGCUAACUCCGUGCCAGCAGCCGCGGUAAUACGGAGGGUGCAAGCGUUAAUCGGAAUUACUGGGCGUAAAGCGCACGCAGGCGGUCUGUCAAGUCGGAUGUGAAAUCCCCGGGCUCAACCUGGGAACUGCAUUCGAAACUGGCAGGCUUGAGUC